UAGUGAGUUUGAUCCUGGCUCAGAACGAACGCUGGCGGCAUGCCUAACACAUGCAAGUCGAACGAGACCUUCGGGUCUAGUGGCGCACGGGUGCGUAACGCGUGGGAACCUGCCCUUAGGUUCGGAAUAACUCAGGGAAACUUGUGCUAAUACCGAAUGUGCCCUUCGGGGGAAAGAUUUAUCGCCUUUAGAGCGGCCCGCGUCUGAUUAGCUAGUUGGUGAGGUAAAGGCUCACCAAGGCGACGAUCAGUAGCUGGUCUGAGAGGAUGAUCAGCCACAUUGGGACUGAGACACGGCCCAAACUCCUACGGGAGGCAGCAGUGGGGAAUCUUGCGCAAUGGGGCGAAAGCCUGACGCAGCCAUGC
rnacentral:rRNA from 1 species